rnacentral:lncRNA from 1 species
AAUAAACAAAAACAGGAAACUGUGGUAAAAAAGAAAGAGUGCUCCUAAUCCAUUGCCAUAGCUUUAAUAUAAUUAGUGUGUAUGCACAAUAGAACAAAUAAAUAUGCUUUUGCCUCAAUGUAUACAAAUAAGUCAUAUGAUAUCCUGUUCAUAUAUAUAUUUCUAAACUCCUUCCCACCAGUCCCACCCGAGAGCUCAGAUAAAAUCAUUAUCUCAUUAAGAAGCACCACGCCAAUAGAAUCAAACGCAAUUACUCAAAAAAUAGAAUCUCCUACUUUUAGAAUUGAAUUCAUUUCUCAUUAAUUUCAGUCAAUCCUGAUCAAUCAGCAUUGAUAGUAGAACAGAAAAAACCUGAAAAGGAGGGCAUAAAACGUGUAAGGAUAGGAUUUAUAUGUAUGUAAUAUAAUGAUAAUGAGGGGGUGACGAAGUCCACUAUUUAGUCACGAAUUUAAGUAAAUCCGCAUGAUGGUCCCUGAGAUUUGGGUCGUUACUCAAUGUGGUCCCUGAGAUUUCAAUUGUACCAUUGUAAUCCUUCAGAUACGGCUCCGGGCACUAUAAUAGUCCCUAGACAGCUUUCCGGUGAUGAGUCAUCACCGACGAUCUGAUGUGUCACGAAGUUACCACGUUGGAGAGAGCCAAAAUGUUGGCGUUUUGGUUUGGCGCCCCAUUUUGUUAAAAACGUCGUCCAAAAUGAAAAUAUUAAACGGACUUGAUCAAACACAUACCCUCCCUUCACUCGUCUUAUCCACUUCCACUCUCUAUCUUCUUCUUUUCUUCUUCUUCUUCCUCCUCUCUUCAUCAAUGUUGCUACCUUAGGGUUCCAUUGGAGAUUGAAAUUCUUGCACUCAGAAGACAUCAAAAUCAGGUCUCACUUUGUCGUUCGUCUCCUCCUACGUCAGAAACAAGAGGUUCUGCCGUUAGUAAAGGUAAUUUUUUUUAUUCUUUUUUUGCAAUGCAUGAUGAUUUUUGUAUAUGCUUGUGUUGUGAGUGUGGUUGGUGUUAUGUUUUUUUUUUCUGUUACUAUAGUUCUAGAGUUUGAUUAGGUUGGGAUUUCAUGAGAUGCUCUGUUUGAUUAUGGUGUUGUGUUAUUGUCUCUUCUUUGGGCAGACAGCAUUCAUCGUUAACAAAGGUUUAGCAAGUUUACAUUUGAUUGAUUUGGGUUUAGGGUAACAAUAAGUGUUAACUAGUGGAAGGUUUACUUACUGAAAAAAAAGUUGAAAAUCAUGCUCUGUUUCAUGGUCAUGAGUGUUCUGUUUGAUAAAACUCUUAUCUAUUGAUGUCUAUUAUAUGAGUGAGUGCAAUGACUUGUAAUGUAGACAAUACUAUAAAUAUUUUUGCUGCAAUACUAUAAAUACGACAUUUUUAACAAAAUGGGACAUUCAAACCCACUAGUAGCAUUCAGCCUACCAAGCCUAUCAAGACCACCCAAAACACCAAAACAGAUAAAACCAACAAGUCCAAACAGCCCAACAAAAGUAGUAUAUCUAGGAGACCUUGUACAAGGUCUGCUACUAGAGGAUUCCAAAGCAAAGUUUUUAAUAUUGAGAUUCCUUUCGAGGUGUCUUCUGACUCUUAUGAGAGCGUAGAAGAUAGUCUUUUUAAGCCAAAUCUUAAUGAAGACAGCUCUUUUGAAUCAAAUACUGGGGUGAAGAAUGUCAACAGUGGGAGUAGGAGUAGGGUGAAGAAUGUUGGUCCUCUAGCUAAAGGAAAGGAGAAGAUUCUGGUUGAGGAUGAUGCAUUUGUACAAGAAGUUAGUGACAAAGAAGUGGAGGUGGUUCGAAUGUUCGUAAUGCAGACCAUAGUCAAGAACAAGGUGAAACUAAACAAUCACAUUGGAGUGCUCACACCGGUUAUAAAGAGUCGAUUGGAGAAAGUUAGAAAAGAAUCUAAGAAUUGGAAGCCUAUUUGGACAGGGCACAACGGAUACGAAAAGUUUGAGGUGCAUGGACACCCAACUAAUCAUGUGGUGGACUUAGGAAAAAGAUUAUGUACUUGCCAAUUUUGGAUGCUUACAGGUUAUUUGCAUUAUUAUAAUACUUGUUUUUGUGCUAUAUUAAUAAUCUGAUUAAUGGUAUAUGAGUAAAACCCAUGGUUGCUAUGGCUGUUGUUCAUAUGCAGGUAUUCCUUGUGUGCAUGCAUGUGUUGCACUGCCUUGAGUUAACAAGCCACCAAAAGACUUUUGUCACCGCUUGCUAAUGAUGGAGUCAUACAGAAAAAUAUAUAAUCAUCAUAUUAAUCCAAUUCCUGGACAACCAUUAUGCGAGCAUGCAGAAGAAUGUAACAGGCCACGUGCACCAAAAAUAAAGAAGAAACCUGAAAAACUACAGAUGAAGAGAAGGAUGGAUGCUGAUGAGAAGGGUGGUGGAGGAUCUAAAAACUCUAAAGUUGAUCCCAAGCCUUAGAGUAACAAUGAAGAUAAUGUUCAUCUAAAGAGGCAGUUGGACCCUUUUACUUAUAGUUUCUGUGGUGAUAAAGGACAUACAAAGAAAGGUUGCAUGAAGAAGAAAGCUUGUGAUACUACUGCAGCUGCUGUAGCUGUUGCAGUUACUGCUGCUGUUGCUAAGGCUGAUAAGAAGAAGAAAAAUGAAGGAGGUGCGCCUGCAUCUGAGCAGCAACUUCAGCAGCCUCAAGAUGAUGGUGACCAAUGUGAUGGAGAAGACAAUCCUCUUGUGCAGUCUAUUGAGAUUGCACCAACCACUUCUGAUGUACAACCUGUAGAGAUAGAUAUAUCUCAGCCAACUGCUUCUGAUGUAGAAUAUUCUCAAAAGGUAACUUCCUAUUUAUAUUUCUUAAAUUUUUUUGUGAUUCAAGUGAAUCAUCCUUUAUGUGUAAUGUAAAUUUUUUUCAUCUAGGAUUAUGGAAUAAAAAGGCCUUUAAAAUUAUCACCAAGGAGAAUAUCCUCUUCACUAGCAACCUCUGUCCCAGUGAAUCCCAUGCAGGGUGCUAGUUCAGGAACUGCAACAAGACUUGUCAAUUACAUGAAGUUCAUCGCAACUCCAAGAUUUAAGGCUCCAAGAAAGAAGAAUUGAAGACUUUAGCUUAAUAUGUAUAGGGCUUUCUGUUUUGAGUUUAAAACUUUUCACUAAACAAAGACUACACAAGAAAAAAACAAUCCUUUAUGUUUUGCUAUAAAGCCCUCUCUUUUGAGGUAACUUUGUUUAACAUGCUCAUGUUAGUUAGCUGCCCUUUGUGUUAUGUGACUGACUGUGUUAAGUUGAACUAUUAUCUUAAUACACUUAUCUUUUAAGUUUGAACCAUUAUCUUAGUACAGCGCUUGCUGGUUUUCAAUCACUUACGCUGCCUUCUUUAGCAUAUUACUAUUUUCAUUAAUUGAGUUACCCAAGUUUACAUUCCAUCAACAAACACCAUUCAUCAGUUUCUAAUACUAUAAUCAUGUUAUCAUUUUUUUACAUAUUAUUCAUUCAAUGAAUACAGGGUACACACCACCAACUCUUUUAACUCAUGCUUUACAAUAUAGGAUAACCAUUAACACUAUCAAUACAGACACAGCUAAUACCAACAAUUAGUUAACCAAUUUUUGAUUCCGAACAUGUUCUUCUAAUCUCCCAAGCCUCUAAUCAAAGUUCAUCUUCACUUCAUGAUUGUCUCCAUAAGAUUCUGGUUUCUCAAUUGGUUCAUCCUGCCCAAUGUCUGCCCAUGUAAAAAGUCUACAUCAUCUCUUUCCACUUGUCUAUAAUCAAGCAAACAUAUAACAUGCUCAAGCUUCAGGAAAGAAGAACAAGAGAAGAACAGUGAGGUAGGUAGGAGCAAUCAUAACACAAGUAAUACUGAUAACUCACAUUAUAAUUAGGACAACCAAAAAUGGUUUAUUUAGGUUUAAAUCUAUCCUAGACCACCUGAGAACUAGCCGGCAGCCGCAACCACACCAUUCUGGCAGCCCAGAUCUUCUGCUCCUACUUUACAUUCUCGUCUGAUGGCCACUGGACGGUGAACUAAUAAAGCUUCCAACUCUAGUGCUCCCACCACCCAUCAUGGAUAUUCGCUUCCAGCUCCAGGAACAAUAGCAACAACAAGAAUGGGAAGAGAACGAUGAAGAAGAAGAAGAAAUUAACUUACUGAACAUUUGGGAAUUUAGGGUUAAAUAUAGAGGGAGGGACCACAUUGAGUAUAAAUUGAAACUAUGCUAGCUCAACUAGCCGUUGACACCAUUCAGCGUGGCAAAAUAAGGCCAUGUUAGCAUCUUGAUGAUGACUCAUCACUGGAAAGCUGUCCAGGGACUACCAUAGUGUCCGGAGCCGUAUCUGGAGAAUUACAAUAGUGCAAUUGGGAUCUCAGGGACCACAUUGAGCAACAACCCAAGUCUCAGGGACCAUUAUAGGAAUUUACUCAAGUCUUCAAGAUUUGGAAAGUAGGAAAACAUAGUGACCCACAGAAUAAUGUUGCAAAUAAUGGGGGGGAACCCCAACUCUCUUUUCAUGACCUAAUAUCACUAUGGAUUUACCUUUGUUAGGAAUAGCCAGACAUAUUCCACUCAUUCUUGCUUCUGGAAUACCAUAAAUGUGUACCCUUUUGUCACUGCUGCCAGUAACUCAGGCCUCUUGUCCGAAUGCACGGGCCAACAUUGCUCGAUUAAAGCGCACAUUGCAGGUGGGCAAUCGGAAGGAAUAGCAGGCCUUGAAUUCUGAAUAAAUACAAAUAUCACAGAAGUGUUAAAAUUACUUGGGCAAAUCCUCUAGUUUGAAGUGUCAUAAUAACAGAGAAGGAAAAUCUACGAACAAGAAGGUCGAUCACCCUCAAAUUUAAUAAGCUCCAUUCAUGGUAAUCGUAUAAGCUAGAAUGAAAAAAGCCACUUGUGUAAAUUCAUAAUGCAAGUUAAUUCAUUUUCUAACUAGUGGACCUUACCUGCCAACUUUGCCAAGUAUAAAUGAAUAUAAUUUCUACCACUUCACCACUAUUUUAAAAGUCAUGCAGUCAAAGAGGUACCUCACCUAGGAAUUUUGCUACAAAAUAUAGUGUGCUUUCAGGGCAUCAAUGGGAUAUAAACAUAGACUAAAAAAGUGUAAACAAUCGUCUUAAAGAUUAGAGGAAGCUUAGAAAAAAUAAGAAAAUGUUUUAACCAAUGAAUCAUAUGUAUUUAGCUAAUGUUUGUACCAACCAAAGACAUGUAAUAAACAGCAAAUCAUUGAAAAGAAUGAACAACCAUACAAAUCUGACCUGCUCUAAACAUAACUAAGCAUGAUAUUACACAGUAAAUCAUAAAAAAAAAAGGAGAAAUAAUAAUUUCUAGCAACGAUCUCCCUUUAACAUUCAUUUUCAUGUACUAAGUGAUUAUUUAGCAAGACAACAAUAUAUUCAAGAUUCAAUCACUAAUAUAUUCAACUCACAUUUCCAGCAACAAAAACAUUUAGCUAAGUAAUUAUUUGAGCAAGACAGCAACAAAUUUAAGCUUCAUUGAUGAUAAUCAGUACAAAAUUCAUCUUAGUGAUGAUUUUAAGCAAUAAAGAAACUAGCUCAACAAAUUAUUCAUGGUUCAGUGGUAAUAAAUAGUAACAAAUUCACGUCAAUGAUGAUUUUCAACAAACAUAAAAACUUGUUCAGUGAUAUUUUCAGUAACAAAUUUCAGCACCAAAUUAAAAUCAAAGUGCAGUGAUGAAUUAGGGCAACAAAACUAAAAAAAUACCAGAGAACAACGACCAACCUCGGGACCGGCUACUUCUGCCGCCGGCAACGACGAGCGCGAGAAGGCACACGACUAAGUGCGAGACGAUGAGGAGCCAUGGAGCGACGAUGACGACUAGUCCUGAGACUGGGUUCUUCUGCCGCCGGCGACAACGAGCUCAGGGAAGGCAUGCGAGCGUGACUGAGUGCGAGAUGGUGACGACUGGUGACACGAAGAACGACAAAAACUUUGAGUGCGAGACCAGAGACGAGAGAGGGAAAAAGCUUGAGAUCGCGAGAGCUAGUGAGCAUAGAGAUGAGAUGAAGGAGAUGCUGAUUGCUGAGAGCUGGGGCUUUUUUGGGGUCAGAUUGAGAGAUUAGUGAGACAUUGAGAUUGGGCUUAGCUUGGCUUGGGUUUGGGUUAGCAAGGAUCUAGGGUUAGAUUUUAUUUUUUAAAGACUUAAUUGUAAUUUUAAAUUUUUAUGAAUCUAAAUGUCUAAAAAAUAAAAAUUUAAAGAUAUAUUUGUUAAUUUGAUAAAAAAAAAUUUAAAUAUAAUUCGGUUCAAAUUAUGUAAACCAAUCGAAUUGAAUCGGAUCUAAUAGUUAUAAUAAACAGAUUUUAUUCUGGUUUAUUAAAAAUAUUUAAUUGACCAGUUUAAUAAUUCGUCCAAUAAUAAUAUAACAUGUGUAACGUCUUUAAAAAAAGACAUUUCUAAUGUCUUUAUCAAAGUGACCGCCUUACCAAAAAUGGUGGUCAUGCCUAUGAUCUUCAGCUCUGAACUCUCAAAUGCCAUCAUAAUUGCAAUGCUAUCAUCUUAGUAUUUUAAAAAAAAAAAAGGGGGUCAAAAUUCAUUAUGACAAUUAUUUGAAGAGAUUCUUAUAAUAUUAUACUUGGUCUACCAACUCUCAACUUCAAAAAUAAUUCUGUUAUUUACUUUUUACUUAUAAGC